CAGUAGCCACGGGAAUACGUAGGGUGCAAGCGUUAAUCGGAAUUACUGGGCGUAAAGCGUGCGCAGGCGGUUUGUUAAGACAGAUGUGAAAUCCCCGGGCUCAACCUGGGAACUGCAUUUGUGACUGGCAGGCUAGAGUAUGGCAGAGGGGGGUGGAGUUCCGCGUGUAGCAGUGAAAUGCGUAGAUAUGCGGAGGAGCACCGAUGGCGAAGGCAGCCCCCUGGGCCAAUACUGACGCUCAUGCACGAAAGCGUGGGGAGCAAACAGGAUUAGAUACCCCAGUAGUCCCUGUCUCUUAUAC
rnacentral:rRNA from 1 species